CGAGCCUGAUGCGCCAUGCCGCGUGUAUGAAGAAGGCCUUCGGGUUGUAAAGUACUUUCAGUUGUGAGGAAGGGGGUAACGUUAAUAGCGCUAUCUCUUGACGUUAGCAACAGAAGAAGCACCGGCUAACUCCGUGCCAGCAGCCGCGGUAAUACGGAGGGUGCGAGCGUUAAUCGGAAUUACUGGGCGUAAAGCGCAUGCAGGUGGUUCAUUAAGUCAGAUGUGAAAGCCCGGGGCUCAACCUCGGAACUGCAUUUGAAACUGGUGAACUAGAGUACUGUAGAGGGGGGUAGAAUUUCAGGUGUAGCGGUGAAAUGCGUAGAGAUCUGAAGGAAUACCAGUGGCGAAGGCGGCCCCCUGGACAGAUACUGACACUCAGAUGCGAAAGCGUGGGGAGCAAACAGGAUUAGAUACCCUGGUAGUCCACGCCGUAAACGAUGUCUACUUGGAGGUUGUGGCCUUGAGCCGUGGCUUUCGGAGCUAACGCGUUAAGUAGACCGCCUGGGGAGUACGGUCGCAAGAUUAAAACUCAAAUGAAUUGACGGGGGCCCGCACAAGCGGUGGAGCAUGUGGUUUAAUUCGAUGCAACGCGAAGAACCUUACCUACUCUUGACAUCCAGAGAAGCCAGCGGAGACGCAGGUGUGCCUUCGGGAGCUCUGAGACAGGUGCUGCAUGGCUGUCGUCAGCUCGUGUUGUGAAAUGUUGGGUUAAGUCCCGCAACGAGCGCAACCCUUAUCCUUGUUUGCCAGCGAGUAAUGUCGGGAACUCCAGGGAGACUGCCGGUGAUAAACCGGAGGAAGGUGGGGACGACGUCAAGUCAUCAUGGCCCUUACGAGUAGGGCUACACACGUGCUACAAUGGCGCAUACAGAGGGCAGCAAGCCAGCGAUGGUAAGCGAAUCCCAAAAAGUGCGUCGUAGUCCGGAUUGGAGUCUGCAACUCGACUCCAUGAAGUCGGAAUCGCUAGUAAUCGUAGAUCAGAAUGCUACGGUGAAUACGUUCCCGGGCCUUGUACACACCGCCCGUCACACCAUGGGAGUGGGCUGCAAAAGAAGUGGGUAGUUUAACCUUUCGGGGAGGACGCUCACCACUUUGUGGUCAUGAUGGGGGAC
rnacentral:rRNA from 1 species